AAUGAACGCUGGCGGCGUGCUUAACACAUGCAAGUCGAACGGUAACAGGCAGAAAGCUUGCUUUUUGUGCUGACGAGUGGCAGACGGGUGAGUAACGCGUGGGCAACCUACCUUUAAGUGGGGGACAACCAGCCGAAAGGCUGGCUAAUACCGCAUGAUAUGACGUUGACUUCGGUUGAUGUGAUCAAAGCCUGGGAUCUUCGGACCAGGUGCUUGAAGAGGGGCUCGCGUCAGAUUAGCUAGUUGGUGGGGUAAAGGCUCACCAAGGCGACGAUCUGUAGCCGGCCUGAGAGGGUGAUCGGCCACACUGGAACUGAGACACGGUCCAGACUCCUACGGGAGGCAGCAGUGGGGAAUUUUGCGCAAUGGGGGAAACCCUGACGCAGCAACGCCGCGUGGGUGAAGACGCAUCUUGGUGUGUAAAGCCCUGUCAUCGGGGAAUAAGGCUAAUUGAUUAAGAGUUGGUUAGUUUGAAUGUACCCGAGGAGGAAGCCCCGGCUAACUCCGUGCCAGCAGCCGCGGUAAUACGGAGGGGGCCAGCGUUAUUCGGAAUUACUGGGCGUAAAGGGCGCGUAGGCGGCUUUUUAUGUGAGAAGUGAAAGCCUACGGCUUAACCGUGGAACGGCUUCUCAUACUGGAGAGC
rnacentral:rRNA from 1 species